AUGGCUUGCCACCUCCGAUCUGCCAGCGUGCCUUCCAGCCCUCUCUCGGAUGGAACAGACGUCCAAGAUCGGCUGCGGAGCCUGAAGGCGGCCAUGUCUUUGCCCUCUGUGACAAUCCAGAUAGUGUGUGGUGCUCUGACAGAGCUCGUGAGCAUAUACAGCUGCAUUGACGAGCUCACGUGCUCGACCAGCAGCAGUCAGACUCAGCAGAGGAAAUCUCUGGAGGACGAGCUUGAGCGCUCUCUCAUGCUGCUAGACCUCUGCAGCUCCAUGCAGGAGAUCUUCGCGGAGCUCAGGACGAGUGUCCAGGAGGUGCAACUAUCCCUCAAGAGAGUGGAUGGCACGGCAGUCCACACCAAAGUUCAGUCUUACGCCCGCUUGUCCAGAAAGGCUCAGAGGCUGUGCAAAAGGAUCAGCAGCAUGGUUGCCUCUGACAUGGAGGGAUGCAGCGCCAUCAAGAUGACAGCUGAAGCGAGAGACAUUGCCAUCGUGAUACUCAAGUCGACGUUGCAUCUCUUUUUGAAGCAGAUUACAAUACCGAAAUUUUCUAGUAGCUGGUCUCUUGUAUCCAAGGCGUUCCAGAAGAAGAGAUUUGCGUGA
rnacentral:rRNA from 1 species